AAGACCCCGUGGAGCUUUACUGUAGCCUGAUAUUGAAAUUCGGUACAGUUUGUACAGGAUAGGUAGGAGCCUUAGAAGCGUGAGCGCUAGCUUACGUGGAGGCAUUGGUGGGAUACUACCCUAAUUGUAUUGGAUUUCUAACCCGCAGCACUUAUCGUGCUGGGAGACAGUGUCAGGCGGGCAGUUUGACUGGGGCGGUCGCCUCCUAAAGAGUAACGGAGGCGCUCAAAGGUUCCCUCAGAAUGGUUGGAAAUCAUUCAUAGAGUGUAAAGGCAUAAGGGAGCUUGACUGCGAGACCUACAAGUCGAGCAGGGUCGAAAGACGGACUUAGUGAUCCGGUGGUUCCGCAUGGAAGGGCCAUCGCUCAACGGAUAAAAGCUACCCCGGGGAUAACAGGCUUAUCUCCCCCAAGAGUUCACAUCGACGGGGAGGUUUGGCACCUCGAUGUCGGCUCAUCGCAUCCUGGGGCUGUAGUCGGUCCCAAGGGUUGGGCUGUUCGCCCAUUAAAGCGGUACGCGAGCUGGGUUCAGAACGUCGUGAGACAGUUCGGUCCCUAUCCGUCGUGGGCGUAGGAAAUUUGAGAGGAGCUGUCCUUAGUACGAGAGGACCGGGAUGGACAUACCUCUGGUGUACCAGUUGUCGUGCCAACGGCAUAGCUGGGUAGCUAUGUAUGGACGGGAUAAGUGCUGAAAGCAUCUAAGCAUGAAGCCCCCCUCGAGAUGAGAUUUCCCAACUUCGGUUAUAAGAUCCCUCAAAGAUGAUGAGGUGAAUAGGUUCGAGGUGGAAGCGUAGCGAUACGUGGAGCUGACGAAUACUAAUCGAUCGAAGACUUAAUCAACAU
rnacentral:rRNA from 1 species